rnacentral:rRNA from 1 species
AUUGAACGCUGGCGGCAUGCCUUACACAUGCAAGUCGAACGGCAGCGGGGACUUCGGUCCGCCGGCGAGUGGCGAACGGGUGAGUAAUGUAUCGGAACGUACCAUUCAGUGGGGGAUAAUUAUCCGAAAGGAUAGCUAAUACCGCAUAUUCUGUGAGCAGGAAAGCAGGGGAUCGCAAGACCUUGCGCUGAUUGAGCGGCCGAUAUCAGAUUAGCUAGUUGGUGAGGUAACGGCUCACCAAGGCUACGAUCUGUAGCGGGUCUGAGAGGAUGAUCCGCCACACUGGGGCUGAGACACGGCCCAGACUCCUACGGGAGGCAGCAGUGGGGAAUUUUGGACAAUGGGCGAAAGCCUGAUCCAGCCAUUCCGCGUGAGUGAAGAAGGCCUUCGGGUUGUAAAGCUCUUUCGCAAGAGAAGAAAACUUACCCUCUAACAUAGGGUGAGGUUGACGGUACCUUGAUAAGAAGCACCGGCUAACUACGUGCCAGCCGCCGCGGUAA